GCCCGGGUCCUGUGCAGCAGGCGCACCGAACCUCGUCAGGUCCGGAAGGAAGCAGCGAUAAGGUGUUCCCCUGUGUGACACAGUCCGGCCUGGGCUCU
rnacentral:SRP_RNA from 1 species